AUUGAACGCUGGCGGCAGGCCUAACACAUGCAAGUCGAGCGGAUGAGAGGAGCUUGCUUCUCGAUUCAGCGGCGGACGGGUGAGUAAUGCCUAGGAAUCUGCCUGGUAGUGGGGGACAACGUUUCGAAAGGAACGCUAAUACCGCAUACGUCCUACGGGAGAAAGCAGGGGACCUUCGGGCCUUGCGCUAUCAGAUGAGCCUAGGUCGGAUUAGCUAGUUGGUGAGGUAAUGGCUCACCAAGGCGACGAUCCGUAACUGGUCUGAGAGGAUGAUCAGUCACACGGGAACUGAGACACGGUCCAGACUCCUACGGGGGGCAGCAGUGGGGAAUAUUGGACAAUGGGCGAAAGCCUGAUCCAGCCAUGCCGCGUGUGUGAAGAAGGUCUUCGGAUUGUAAAGCACUUUAAGUUGGGAGGAAGGGUUGUAGAUUAAUACUCUGCAAUUUUGACGUUACCGACAGAAUAAGCACCGGCUAACUCUGUGCCAGCAGCCGCCGUAAGAC
rnacentral:rRNA from 1 species